rnacentral:rRNA from 1 species
UAAGUUAGAAAGGGCGCACGGUGGAUGCCUUGACACUAGGAGUCGAUGAAGGACGGGACUAACGCCGAUAUGCUUCGGGGAGCUGUAAGUAAGCUUUGAUCCGAAGAUUUCCGAAUGGGGAAACCCACCAUACGUAAUGGUAUGGUAUCCUUAUCUGAAUACAUAGGGUAAGGAAGACAGACCCAGGGAACUGAAACAUCUAAGUACCUGGAGGAAGAGAAAGCAAAUGCGAUUUCCUGAGUAGCGGCGAGCGAAACGGAACAUAGCCCAAACCAAGAGGCUUGCCUCUUGGGGUUGUAGGACAUUCUAUACGGAGUUACAAAGGAACGAGGUAGACGAAGCGACCUGGAAAGGUCCGUCGUAGAGGGUAACAACCCCGUAGUCGAAACUUCGUUCUCUCUUGAAUGUAUCCUGAGUACGGCGGAACACGUGAAAUUCCGUCGGAAUCUGGGAGGACCAUCUCCCAAGGCUAAAUACUCCCUAGUGAUCGAUAGUGAACCAGUACCGUGAGAGAAAGGUGAAAAGCACCCCGGAAGGGGAGUGAAAGAGAUCCUGAAACCGUGUGCCUACAAAUAGUCAGAGCCCGUUAACGGGUGAUGGCGUGCCUUUUGUAGAAUGAACCGGCGAGUUACGAUCCCGUGCGAGGUUAAGCUGAAGAGGCGGAGCCGCAGCGAAAGCGAGUCUGAAUAGGGCGUUUAGUACGUGGUCGUAGACCCGAAACCAGGUGAUCUACCCAUGUCCAGGGUGAAGUUCAGGUAACACUGAAUGGAGGCCCGAACCCACGCACGUUGAAAAGUGCGGGGAUGAGGUGUGGGUAGCGGAGAAAUUCCAAUCGAACCUGGAGAUAGCUGGUUCUCCCCGAAAUAGCUUUAGGGCUAGCCUUAAGUGUAAGAGUCUUGGAGGUAGAGCACUGAUUGGACUAGGGGUCCUCAUCGGAUUACCGAAUUCAGUCAAACUCCGAAUGCCAAUGACUUAUCCUUAGGAGUCAGACUGCGAGUGAUAAGAUCCGUAGUCAAAAGGGAAACAGCCCAGACCGCCAGCUAAGGUCCCAAAGUGUGUAUUAAGUGGAAAAGGAUGUGGAGUUGCUUAGACAACUAGGAUGUUGGCUUAGAAGCAGCCACCAUUUAAAGAGUGCGUAAUAGCUCACUAGUCGAGUGACUCUGCGCCGAAAAUGUACCGGGGCUAAAUACACCACCGAAGCUGCGGAUUGAUACCAAUGGUAUCAGUGGUAGGGGAGCGUUCUAAGGACAGUGAAGUCAGACCGGAAGGACUGGUGGAGUGCUUAGAAGUGAGAAUGCCGGUAUGAGUAGCGAAAGACGGGUGAGAAUCCCGUCCACCGAAUGCCUAAGGUUUCCUGAGGAAGGCUCGUCCGCUCAGGGUUAGUCAGGACCUAAGCCGAGGCCGACAGGCGUAGGCGAUGGACAACAGGUUGAUAUUCCUGUACCACCUCUUUAUCGUUUGAGCAAUGGAGGGACGCAGAAGGAUAGAAGAAGCGUGCGAUUGGUUGUGCACGUCCAAGCAGUUAGGCUGAUAAGUAGGCAAAUCCGCUUAUCGUGAAGGCUGAGCUGUGAUGGGGAAGCUCCUUAUGGAGCGAAGUCUUUGAUUCCCCGCUGCCAAGAAAAGCUUCUAGCGAGAUAAAAGGUGCCUGUACCGCAAACCGACACAGGUAGGCGAGGAGAGAAUCCUAAGGUGUGCGAGAGAACUCUGGUUAAGGAACUCGGCAAAAUGACCCCGUAACUUCGGGAGAAGGGGUGCUUUCUUAACGGAAAGCCGCAGUGAAUAGGCCCAAGCGACUGUUUAGCAAAAACACAGCUCUCUGCGAAGCCGUAAGGCGAAGUAUAGGGGGUGACACCUGCCCGGUGCUGGAAGGUUAAGGAGAGGGGUUAGCGUAAGCGAAGCUCUGAACUGAAGCCCCAGUAAACGGCGGCCGUAACUAUAACGGUCCUAAGGUAGCGAAAUUCCUUGUCGGGUAAGUUCCGACCCGCACGAAAGGUGUAACGAUUUGGGCACUGUCUCAACCAGAGACUCGGUGAAAUUAUAGUACCUGUGAAGAUGCAGGUUACCCGCGACAGGACGGAAAGACCCGUGGAGCUUUACUGUAGCCUGAUAUUGAAUUUUGGUACAGUUUGUACAGGAUAGGCGGGAGCCUUUGAAACCGGAGCGCUAGCUUCGGUGGAGGCGCUGGUGGGAUACCGCCCUGACUGUAUUGAAAUUCUAACCUACGGGUCUUAUCGACCCGGGAGACAGUGUCAGGUGGGCAGUUUGACUGGGGCGGUCGCCUCCUAAAGUGUAACGGAGGCGCCCAAAGGUUCCCUCAGAAUGGUUGGAAAUCAUUCGUAGAGUGCAAAGGCAUAAGGGAGCUUGACUGCGAGACCUACAAGUCGAGCAGGGACGAAAGUCGGGCUUAGUGAUCCGGUGGUUCCGCAUGGAAGGGCCAUCGCUCAACGGAUAAAAGCUACCCCGGGGAUAACAGGCUUAUCUCCCCCAAGAGUCCACAUCGACGGGGAGGUUUGGCACCUCGAUGUCGGCUCAUCGCAUCCUGGGGCUGUAGUCGGUCCCAAGGGUUGGGCUGUUCGCCCAUUAAAGCGGUACGCGAGCUGGGUUCAGAACGUCGUGAGACAGUUCGGUCCCUAUCCGUCGUGGGCGUAGGAAAUUUGAGAGGAGCUGUCCUUAGUACGAGAGGACCGGGAUGGACGCACCGCUGGUGUACCAGUUGUUCUGCCAAGGGCAUAGCUGGGUAGCUAUGUGCGGAAGGGAUAAGUGCUGAAAGCAUCUAAGCAUGAAGCCCCCCUCAAGAUGAGAUUUCCCAUAGCGUAAGCUAGUAAGAUCCCUGAAAGAUGAUCAGGUUGAUAGGUUCGAGGUGGAAGCAUGGUGACAUGUGGAGCUGACGAAUACUAAUAGAUCGAGGACUUAACCA